CUAGAGAGCUGAAUAAGGCCGAUUUUCGUACAUAAAAGAUUCUGGGCUGCAAAGUACAUAAUUGGCUCUGUAUGAAAGGACAAAGAAACCUUAGAUAAAUAGCCUGAACAAUGGUGAGAACACUUGGAGAAAAUUAGGCCAUCAUCACUGAUAACUAUUAUUUUCAUAUUCUUCUUUUUUUGUUUUUUUUUGUUUAAUAGAGCAGACAAAGGGCAAUUUCCUGGGUGUUUGGCAUUUUCGUGAUGCUCCUUGUAACUGAUUGCAGGGCGGCAGUACAGGUAAGUCAGUUAUUAUGCAUUUGAUCAUAUUAUUUUGUUUAUAUAUAUAUAUAUACACAUAGCUAUAUACACAUACAUAUACAUAUAUAUCUAUCUAUCUAUAUAUAUAUAUAUAUAUAUAUAUAUAUAUAUAUAUAUAUAUAUAUAUUAUAAUUGAUUUGAUUUUUUUAAAAAUAGGUUUUCACAGGAAACUGGGGACCCCAAUCAAUGUUGUAUCUGAAAGGAAAAC